rnacentral:piRNA from 1 species
GCAGAGCCACUGAGUUCAGGGAGCAACUGA